rnacentral:rRNA from 1 species
UGCUUAAAGGGGCCGUAGCCGGAUUAGUAAAUCUUCUGUGAAAUUGUUAGGCUUAACCUAACAGCGUGCAGGGGACACUGCUAAUCUUGAGACCGGGAGGAGUCAGAGGUAUUCAUAGCGUAGCGGUAAAAUGCGAUAAUCCUAUGAAGACCACCUGUGGCGAAGGCGUCUGACUAGAACGGGUCUGACGGUGAGGGACGAAAGCUGGGGGAGCGAUCCGGAUUAGAUACCCGAGUAGUCCCAGCUGUAAACGCUGCGAGCUAGGUGUUGCAUAUUUCACGAGAAUAUGCAGUGUCGAAGCGAAGGCGAUAAGCUCGCCGCCUGGGUAGUACGGUCGCAAGACUGAAACUUAAAGGAAUAGGCGGGGGAGCACUACAAGGGGUGCGGCGUGCGGUUUAAUCCAACUCAACGCGGAGAAUCUCACCAGAGGCGACGGCAGGAUGAAAGUCAGACUGAAGGCCUUACUCAACAAGCCGAGAGGUGGUGCAUGGCCGUCGUCAGCUCGUGCUGUGAAGUGUCCUGUUAAGUCAGGCAACGAGCGAGACCUGCGUCUACAAUUGCCAGCAACCUUUCCAAAGGGAUUGGGCACAUUGUAGAGACUGCCUUGGAAACAAGGAGGAAGGUGCAGGCUACGGUAGGUCUGUAUGCCCCGAAUCCUCUGGGCUACACGCGCGCAACAAUGGUAUGGACAAUGGGAUGCAACUCCGAAAGGAGAAGCUAAGCCUCUAAACCAUAUCCUAGUCCAGAUUGUGGAUUGUAACUCAUCCACAUGACGUUGGAAUCCCUAGUAACCAGGUGUUAGCAUCGCCCGGUGAACGUGUCCCUGCUCCUUGUACUCACCGCCCGU